rnacentral:rRNA from 1 species
GUCAGGUGGGGCUACCCGCUGAGUUUAAGCAUAUAAAUAAGCGGAGGAGAAGAAACUUACGAGGAUUCCCUUAGUAACGGCGAGCGAACCGGGAUCAGCCCAGCUUGAGAAUCGGGCGGCCGCGCCGUCCGAAUUGUAGUCUGGAGAAGCGUCCUCAGCGACGGACCGGGCCCAAGUCCCCUGGAAAGGGGCGCCGGGGAGGGUGAGAGCCCCGUCCG